UGAGGAAUAUUGCACAAUGGGCGCAAGCCUGAUGCAGCGACGCCGCGUGUGGGAUGAAGGGGCUACGCCUCGUAAACCACUGUAGCCCGGGACGAAAAACGCCUUAGAGGCGUUAGACGGUACCGGGAAAGUAAGGGUCGGCUAACUACGUGCCAGCAGCCGCGGUAAUACGUAGGGGGCUAGCGUUGCUCGGAAUCACUGGGCGUAAAGCGCACGUAGGCGGCUUACUAAGUCAGGGGUGAAAUCCUGGAGCUCAACUCCAGAACUGCCUUUGAUACUGGUGAGCUUGAGUUCGGGAGAGGUGAGUGGAACUGCGAGUGUAGAGGUGAAAUUCGUAGAUAUUCGCAAGAACACCAGUGGCGAAGGCGGCUCACUGGCCCGAUACUGACGCUGAGGUGCGAAAGCGUGGGGAGCAAACA
rnacentral:rRNA from 1 species